UUUAUUUAUUUAUUUAUUUAUUUAUUUAUUUAAAGAUUUUAUUUAUUUAUUCAUGAGAGACACAGAGAAAAAGAGGCAGAGACAGAGGCAGAGGGAGAAGCAGGCUCCAUGCAGGGAACCCGACGUGGGACUCGAUCCUGGGUCUCCAGGAUCACGCCCUGGGCUGAAGGCACAUGCUUAACCGCUGAACCACCCAGGCGUCCCAAGAUUUUAUUUAUUUAUUCAUGAGAGACACAGAGACAGAGAGAGGCAGAGACACAGGCAGAGGGAGAAGCAGGCUCCAUGCAGGGAGCCUGACAUGGGACUUGAUCCCGGACUCUAGGAUCACGCCCUGGGCUGAAGGUGGCGCUAAACCACUGAGCCACCAGGGCUGCCCUAUCAUUGUAAUUUAAAUUGAACUAUUUAAGUUUUCCAGACACAUAUUUAGUGAGGACUUUUUAAAAAUAUACAAGAGAGAAGCAAAGAAGCAUGAGGCUCUUUAGACUUGUUUUACUCUGGUGUAAUAAAUGGAUGAGAGCUGGUUUUACUGGGGUGUUAAUGACAACAGCUGGCACUGAGUAGUUGGAAUGUGCCAGGUACUCUUCGAAGCACUUUAUACAUAGCAAGCCACUUCAUCCUUCAUUCACCAGACCUAUCAUCAGGUGAAUCAGGUGAAUCUCUUAGAUCCCCAUUCUACAAAAAAGGAAAUUAAGGCACAGAGACACUUGCUCCAAGUCAUCCAGCUAGUAAAUGGCAGAGCUGGGAGUCUAGCUCUGGACACGAUACCAUAUAGUGCCUCUAGUGCAAUUUGCAAAAGGCCUGUGCUUUCUGGAACAAUGUGUAACCUAGGAGAGUGAAUGAAAGAGUCGGGAAGGACUAAGCUUCUGCUCUUUGCUCUUUUAGGGACAAAAUGAGCACACCAGGCACAUAUCCUUGCACGUUCCUCUUCAUCCAAUCAGAACUAGGGCUGCCCUUCCCUUAGUGGGAGGCCAUCGCAAGUUCCUGGGAGAAAUGGCACAUUGUGAUGGAUGCUUUUGGGCGCAAGACAAAAGUUUUUGCUAAGGUAUUUAUUUAAUCCUGUAACAAUCCUGCACUGUAAUAAAAAAGGAACAUAGAAUCUCCAUCUUACCAACAUUUCAUGAAACUGGUUUAAAAUAAAGUUCUAGUUUUGAUUCUUGUGUAGCUUCCUACAAUUGCUUUGUUCACACAUUACCUUGUUAUUAGCUCAUAGUAUUCAACAGCUUCUGGUUCUGUAGAUCAACUACCUGUUCACACUGGCAAUGGAAAAGGAGAAAAGUACUGUCACAUAAAUGCUGAGCCUAUGACAUGGGUCACCUUUAUCACAUGCUAAGAGUGCAUGCAGCAUGGUUUGUGUGGUCUUUGUCUCAUGGGUCAUACCAAAUGUAUUUGCCUCCCAAAGACAAAAGGCCAAACUACUUCCUUUUUUUUUUUUUUAAGAUUUAAUUUAUUUAUUCAUGAGAGACACACAGAGAGGCAGAGAGAGAAGCAGGCUCCAUGCAAAGAGCCUGAUGUGGGACUUGAUCCCUGGACUCCAGGAUCACACCCUGGGCUGAACGCAGGCGCUAAACCGCUGAGCCACUCAGAGAUGUCCUGCCAAACUACUUCCAACUCUGACAGUAACUGCAGGAAAUUUAGGUGAUUUCAGAUUGCUGCAGUCAUUCAAUGGAUACUAAAUAGAAUUAAUUGUUUUAUAACCAACAAUAAUAUUCAUAUUACUGUUGUUAUAUAUUUUUACAAAUCAUAUAUAUGACUCAAGAGCCAAUUUGGAAGAA
rnacentral:lncRNA from 1 species